rnacentral:rRNA from 1 species
UACGUAGGGGGCAAGCGUUGUCCGGAUUUAUUGGGCGUAAAGAGCGUGUAGGCGGCCAGACAGGUCCGUUGUGAAAACUCGGGGCUCAACUCCGAGCUUGCAGUCGAUACGGGCAGGCUAGAGUUCGGCAGGGGAGACUGGAAUUCCUGGUGUAGCGGUGAAAUGCGCAGAUAUCAGGAGGAACACCGGUGGCGAAGGCGGUUCUCUGGGCCUGUACUGACGCUGAGGAGCGAAAGCGUGGGGAGCGAACAGG